UUUCUGUAACCAAAAGAAAUUCGCUUGAUUAAUUUUAUCUUAUUAUUAAUUCCUUCUAUAGCACCAUUAUUAAAU
rnacentral:tRNA from 1 species